rnacentral:rRNA from 1 species
ACGAACGCUGGCGGCGUGCUUAACACAUGCAAGUCGAACGGAAAGGCCCGCUUGCGGGUACUCGAGUGGCGAACGGGUGAGUAACACGUGGGUAACCUGCCCUUGACUUCGGGAUAACAUUUGGAAACAGAUGCUAAUACCGGAUAUCACUGCUACGGGCAUCCGUGGUGGUUGAAAGUUUUUUCGGUCAAGGAUGGGCCCGCGGCCUAUCAGCUUGUUGGUGGGGUAAUGGCCUACCAAGGCGACGACGGGUAGCCGGCCUGAGAGGGCGACCGGCCACACUGGGACUGAGACACGGCCCAGACUCCUACGGGAGGCAGCAGUGGGGAAUAUUGCGCAAUGGGCGGAAGCCUGACGCAGCGACGCCGCGUGAGGGAUGAAGGCCUUCGGGUUGUAAACCUCUUUCAGCAGGAACGAACAAUGACGGUACCUGCAGAAGAAGCACCGGCUAACUACGU